AAAAAAACCAAAAAAACAACAAAACAACCUCCUGCCAAAUUGCAAUGAGCAAUUGCUCAUUUAUAUAUUUUUAAACAAGAAUCAAAUGAACAGUUUUGAAUUGUGUUUGACUUAAUUCCAUUCUUGAUGUCCUGUAUACAUGUUCUGUUUUUUGCAAGGGGAGGGGAAGGAAGAUAACUAGUACUUCUAGACCAGAUUUGCAAUAUUAUUUGUAACAUGGGUUUUACACUCAAUGAAAUAGGAUAUACACUGGUUUUGAGUAAAGCAAUAAUUCUCAAGAAGAAAAUUAUUCUGCAUGGCAGUGCUGGUUUAAAACACAGCUAGAAAAUUAAACCCCACUUAAGCUGCUCUCUUCCCCCAUCCCCUCCUAGCGAAAGGGAGACUAAAAGCAGAGGUUCUGAGUUAGGAAUGGUUGCAUUGAAAGAGUUGCAGUCAAUGGCAAGUGAUAGGGAGGAACAUGAAUCCAGCAACCCAAUUGCUGUCAAAUGAAGUUAACUCUCCUCACUGCCAAAAGCCCAGUGUUUGACACAAAGCCACUUAGGUCAAUUCUAAAGGGCACUGCCUCUCUCCAUAGACCACGUAGGGAUACUAAAAUUGGUGACAUUUUGAUACAUUCAACUUCUGGCAAUUGUUUUUCUAUUCAUCUAAUUCUUGUGCACAAGUACUACAUAACUGCUCAAAGUUUAAGUACUCUGUGUGAUAUACUGGUAAUGUAAACCUCCAUUUCUUUCAGUUAGAAGUUGUUUUAUGUGGUUUUGUAUGAUCGUUUAUAAAACUCCAUAUGUUUCAUGAUAAUUUAUGGGUAAUGUAAAACUAAGCUAAGGUCAGUAUUUUUGUUCAAGUUAGUAUGCCAUACAAAUAUGUCUGAUUAUUUAUUUUGUUUUUUAAAUGGACAACCAUGAUUUCACUUGAGUGCAAAUAUGAUGUGAACCUAGGUCUUAGGUUAAAGUUAACACAAGCUUUUGCACAGCUGUGUUUAAAUACCUAGUACUGACCAGUUCAUAUAAAUGGAGCUGCCUGGAAGGCAUUUCUCAAUUUCUUAUUUGUGGUACUAAAGUUAUUUGAUAUUUUGAAACUUGUCCUUGCAUGCUGGUGUGAUCUCAUGAGCUUCUGGCUGCAAAAUACAGAUCCUUGUUUCUGACUCAGCUAUCGACGUUGCAUAGCAUCAGCUACAGAUUUAUCUGUGCCUCUGAUGAAAGCAGGGUCAUUACUGAGUCACUCUUCCCUCAGGGACAAAAAUGCCGAGAUCCUGUUCUUUUGCCCACCUGAGUAUAUUCGUUUCAGUAUGAAAUUAAUUUACAACAUAAAAGAUAAGUGCUGACUCACUGGUCUAAUUUUUUGCAGCAUGUUUUUGAUCUCAGUUGGGAUUCAGGUUCUUUUUUCAGUAUUAUCAUCACUAGGUUUGAAAGAGGAAUGGAUCAUUCAUCUGAUAGCUGGACAGAUCUCUUUAUACUGUUCAGAACACUUGGCCUGAUACAGAGAGGAAAAUGACAGAUUAAUCUGGCAGUGUCACAUUGAUUUGGGGUUUCAUUAUUUCAGAGGUAAUUAUUUGCCACUCAUAAACUCACCUACAUAUAUGGUGGCAACACUUUCAGUCAUGAGACAUUACUCAGCAAUAGCAGGUACUUAGGUACUGCAGAUCCAUGAAACAAAUACAUGGCCCUUGCCCUCAGAGGACUUAAAAUCAAAUUCCAGGCCCUGGCUGAUUGUUAGUAGCAGACAUUCCAGUAAAAUUUUAAGUGCCCAGGACUUUGCCUUAGAGAGUAAAACAGUGCCCUCCCUUCUGUAGGGCAGAGGGCAGAUUUUCAGGACCAUGCUACAGGUGCUGUGGAAAUAAUGUCUUCACACCUGCUGGUGGUUCAGUGUCACAGAGUAACACAACCUUCAAGGCUGGCUUUGCAAUUUCGUCUCUGUAUGUGGCAUUGAUGGAUGGCAACGGCACGUGCAUGCUCUCAUGGAUACAGAGACAUGUGGCUGCAGGAAACAAGAGACAAAGACAAAAUGAGCAAGAGAAAGGAAGCAGGAGACAGACACUGCAAGCAGAAGAUAAUCACCAUCAUGGAUCCAGUAGCAUCCCAUUGGUCCUUCAGUGUCCUGGGCUUCUUGCUGGUGAGGGCGUACCCAGUUUGUUCCCUGAGUUUCUGUUUUCAAUCCCUUGUUAGCAUGAGAGGCAAGAGAGUGUGUGUGUUUUACCACUCCAUUUUCUCAGGUCUCAAUUCAUUGUCUGGGGAGGGAUCUAUUCUGUGGAUCUCAAAGGAUUAAGGUUGUAAUGAAAAAUACCGGUUUUGGUCCUGACUUGGCAAAGCCAGAUCUGGGACUUUGUUCCAUUUUCAGCUUGUGCAUAGGCACCUAUGAUGUUUUCUGCAACAGAUUUCAUCACCCUUUGUUUAAUGCAUAAAAUGCAAAUGUCAUUAACCCUUUACUUACAAUGGCCUCCAUCAUACACUGGUGCAGAGGGUUGUUCCUCCCCACCUGCAGCACUUCAUACUUCUCCUUGUUGAAUUUCAUUCCUGUUGGCCCAUUUCUCCAGCUUGCCAAGGUCACUCUGGAUGGCAGCACGACCUUCGGGUGUUUAAGUCACUCCUCCCAGUUUUGAGUCAUCAGCACAAUUGCUGUUGGGACACUGCCCCAUCAUCCAGAUUACUAAUGAAGAUGUUAAACAGGAAUUGAUGCAGUAUUGACUCACAGCAUACACCAGUAGUUACUGGCUUCCAGCUAGGUGCCAUGCUUCUCAAGACCACCCUCUGGACCUGGCCAUUCAGCCAGUUUUUGGUCCACCUCAAUGUUUGCUCAUCCAGACUGUAUACCAACAGCUUUUCUGUGAGGAUCUUAUGAGAGACAUUGUCAAAGGCCUCACUGAAGCCCAGGUAGACAAUAUCUGCUGCACUUUCCUCAUCUGUCAGGUCACUCAAGUCAUUGUAGGACUUUAGCAAGUUGGUGAAGCGAGACUUCCCCUUGGUGAAGCCAUGCUGACUAUGCCUGAUCAUUUUCUUGUCCCUAAUGUGCCUAGAAAUGGCUUUGAGAAUUUGUUGCUUCAGAAAUAGUCAGAAGCUGAUGAGAUCACACCAGAAAUGCAAGGACAAUGCAAGUUGUUUUCUGAGCAUCUGAAGGAAGCAGAAAAUAAUGUUCCCGAAAGAAGGGAACAUUCACUUAAUUUAAGUGAAACAACAAAGACAGGAUUCCUUGGUGGCCUCUGUACUGAGUGUUCCGCAGUGUAGAAGGAUGUCAGGCAUUGACUUGGAAACCAGUGUCUGUCCUUAUAAGAAAGCAUUAAACUUCCAGCAGAAACCAGUUCUGCAAACUGGAGUGGUAACUCACAGCUUGAAAUAAAAAUCCCAAUUAUU